AACGAACGCUGGCGGCAUGCCUAACACAUGCAAGUCGAACGAAGCCUUCGGGCUUAGUGGCGCACGGGUGCGUAACGCGUGGGAAUCUGCCCUUGGGUUCGGAAUAACAGCUAGAAAUGACUGCUAAUACCGGCUGAUGUCUUCGGACCAAAGAUUUAUCGCCCAAGGAUGAGCCCGCGUAGGAUUAGGUAGUUGGUGGGGUAAUGGCCCACCAAGCCGACGAUCCUUAGCUGGGCCGAGAGGAUGAUCAGCCACACUGGGACUGAGACACGGCCCAGACUCCUACGGGAGGCAGCAGUGGGGAAUAUUGGACAAUGGGCGAAAGCCUGAUCCAGCAAUGCCGCGUGAGUGAUGAAGGCCUUAGGGUUGUAAAGCUCUUUUACCAGGGAUGAUAAUGACAGUACCUGGAGAAUAAGCUCCGGCUAACUCCGUGCCAGCCGCCGCCGUAACAC
rnacentral:rRNA from 1 species